UCGACGGUAACAUUUCUAGCUUGCUAGAAGAUGACGAGUGGCGGACGGGUGAGUAAUGCUUGGGAACUUGCCUUUGCGAGGGGGAUAACAGUUGGAAACGACUGCUAAUACCGCAUAAUGUCUUCGGACCAAACGGGGCUUCGGCUCCGGCGCAAAGAGAGGCCCAAGUGAGAUUAGCUAGUUGGUAAGGUAACGGCUUACCAAGGCGACGAUCUCUAGCUGUUCUGAGAGGAAGAUCAGCCACACUGGGACUGAGACACGGCCCAGACUCCUACGGGAGGCAGCAGUGGGGAAUAUUGCACAAUGGGGGAAACCCUGAUGCAGCCAUGCCGCGUGUGUGAAGAAGGCCUUCGGGUUGUAAAGCACUUUCAGUUGUGAGGAAAAGUUAGUAGUUAAUACCUGCUAGCCGUGACGUUAACAACAGAAGAAGCACCGGCUAACUCCGUGCCAGCAGCCGCGGUAAUACGGAGGGUGCGAGCGUUAAUCGGAAUUACUGGGCGUAAAGCGCACGCAGGCGGUUUGUUAAGCUAGAUGUGAAAGCCCCGGGCUCAACCUGGGAUGGUCAUUUAGAACUGGCAGACUAGAGUCUUGGAGAGGGGAGUGGAAUUCCAGGUGUAGCGGUGAAAUGCGUAGAUAUCUGGAGGAACAUCAGUGGCGAAGGCGACUCCCUGGCCAAAGACUGACGCUCAUGUGCGAAAGUGUGGGUAGCGAACAGGAUUAGAUACCCUGGUAGUCCACACCGUAAACGCUGUCUACUAGCUGUGUGUGUCUUUAAGGCGUGCGUAGCGAAGCUAACGCGCUAAGUAGACCGCCUGGGGAGUACGGCCGCAAGGUUAAAACUCAAAUGAAUUUGACGGGGGCCCGCACAAGCGGUGGGA
rnacentral:rRNA from 1 species